AAAGCGCGCGUAGGCGGUAUUUUAAGUCAGGUGUUAAAUCCUUCAGCUCAACUGAAGGCUGCCUCUGAAACUGAAAUACUAGAGUUUAGUAGAGGAAAGCGGAACUCACGGUGUAGCGGUGAAAUGCGUAGAUAUCGUGAGGAACACCAGUUGCGAAGGCGGCUUUCUGGACUAAUACUGACGCUAAGGUGCGAAAGCGUGGGGAGCGAACGGGAUUAGAUACCCCGGUAGUCCACGCCGUAAACGUUGUUCACUAGGUGUUGGAGGUAUCGACCCCUUCAGUGCCAAAGAUAAUUCGUUAAGUGAACCGCCUGGGAAGUACGACCGCAAGGUUAAAACUCAAAGAAAUUGACGGGGGCCCGCACAAGCAGUGGAGCAUGUGGUUUAAUUCGACGAUACGCGAAGAACCUUACCAGGGUUUGACAUCCGCAGAAUCUUCUAGAGACAGAAGAGUGCCCGCAAGGGAGCUGCGUGACAGGUGGUGCAUGGCUGUCGUCAGCUCGUGUCGUGAGAUGUUGGGUUAAGUCCCGCAACGAGCGCAACCCUCAUCUUGUGUUGCCAGCACGUAAUGGUGGGAACUCACAAGAAACUGCCUGUAAAAAGCAGGAGGAAGGUGAGGACGACGUCAAGUCAUCAUGCCCCUUACACCCUGGGCUACACACAUGCUACAAUGGCCGGUACAAAGAGCUGCUAAAUCGCGAGAUCAAGCUAAUCUCAUAAAACCGGUCCCAGUUCGGAUUGUAGUCUGUAACUCGACUACAUGAAGUUGGAAUUGCUAGUAAACGCAGAUCAGCUACGCUGCGUUGAAUACGUUCCCGGGCCUUGUACACACCGCCCGUCACACCAUGAGAGUUAGAAAUACCCAAA
rnacentral:rRNA from 1 species